GCCGCCGUCACAAAUCGGUUGAGGGGAGGAUAAGAUGGCUCGAAAUGAGGAGAAAGCACAGUCGAUGCUAAAUCGUUUCAUAGCCUUAAAAGCUGAGGAGAAGAAGAAACCCAAGGAACGCCGACCCUACCUUGCCUCUGAGUGUCGUGACCUUGCGGAAGCUGACAAAUGGCGUCAACAAAUCAUGCGUGAGAUUGGUCGUAAGGUUGCAGAGAUCCAAAAUGAAGGCCUUGGUGAGCACCGUUUGCGUGAUCUCAAUGAUGAGAUUAACAAGCUCAUUAGAGAGAAGUUACAUUGGGAGCGUCGUAUAAUUGAGCUAGGUGGCCCCAAUUAUACCAAACACUCGGCCAAAAUGACUGAUUUAGAGGGGAAUAUUGUUGAUGUACCAAACCCCAGUGGUCGUGGUCCUGGAUAUCGGUAUUUCGGUGCUGCUAAGAAGUUACCAGGUGUUAGGG
rnacentral:misc_RNA from 1 species